rnacentral:rRNA from 1 species
AUUGAACGCUGGCGGCAUGCUUUACACAUGCAAGUCGAACGGCAGCGCGGGCUUCGGCCUGGAGGCGAGUGGCGAACGGGUGAGUAAUGCAUCGGAACGUGCCCAGUAGUGGGGGAUAGGCCGGCGAAAGGGGGAUUAAUACCGCAUACGACCUGAGGGUGAAAGGGGGGGACCGAAAGGCCUCGCGCUAUUGGAGCGGCCGAUGUCGGAUUAGCUAGUUGGUGGGGUAAAGGCUUACCAAGGCGACGAUCCGUAGCUGGUCUGAGAGGACGACCAGCCACACUGGAACUGAGACACGGCCCAGACUCCUACGGGAGGCAGCAGUGGGGAAUUUUGGACAAUGGGGGCAACCCUGAUCCAGCCAUGCCGCGUGCGUGAAGAAGGCCUUCGGGUUGUAAACCGCUUUUGUUCGGGAAGAAAUCCUCUGGGCUAAUACCCCGGGGGGAUGACGGUACCGGAAGAAUAAGCACCGGCUAACUACGUG